rnacentral:lncRNA from 1 species
UCCAACGGGGUGGGAGGCUUGGAGCAGCUGAAUAGGGAAGCUUAGAUGAUGGCUGGGGUUUUGUGUUGGGUAUUUUUUUAAUUUUUUCGUUCUCGGAGGUCUCGAUCGGGUGGGAGGCUUGGAGGGAUCGGGAUAAUUCUGAUUUCGAGCGGGUUGAUUAGACACCAAACAAAAUUUCAAAUAUAAAAUCUACUUAAUUCAUCUUAGAUCA